rnacentral:rRNA from 1 species
ACGGGAGGCAGCAGUGGGGAAUAUUGCACACUGGGCGAAAGCCUGAUGCAGCGACGCCGCGUGAGUGAAGAAGUAUUUCGGUAUGUAAAGCUCUAUCAGCAGGGAAGAAAAAUGACGGUACCUGACUAAGAAGCACCGGCUAAAUACGUGCCAGCAGCCGCGGUAAUACGUAUGGUGCAAGCGUUAUCCGGAUUUACUGGGUGUAAAGGGAGCGCAGGCGGUACGGCAAGUCUGAUGUGAAAGCCCGGGGCUCAACCCCGGUACUGCAUUGGAAACUGUCGAACUAGAGUGUCGGAGGGGUAAGCGGAAUUCCUAGUGUAGCGGUGAAAUGCGUAGAUAUUAGGAGGAACACCAGUGGCGAAGGCGGCUUACUGGACGAUAACUGACGCUGAGGCGCGAAAGCGUGGGUAGCAACCAGGAUUAGAUACCCUGGUA